UACAGAGGUCCCAAGCGUUGUCCGGAUUCACUGGGCGUAAAGGGUGCGUAGGUGGUAAGGUAAGUCGGAUGUGAAAUCUCCAGGCUCAACCUGGAAAUGGCAUCGGAAACUACCUUGCUCGAGGUUUGGAGGGGGGACUGGAAUACUUGGUGUAGCAGUGAAAUGCGUAGAUAUCAAGUGGAACACCAGUGGCGAAGGCGAGUCCCUGGACAACACCUGACACUGAGGCACGAAAGCUAGGGGAGCAAACAGG
rnacentral:rRNA from 1 species